rnacentral:lncRNA from 1 species
CGAUCCUCAGCGCCUAGGCAACCGGCGUCCAAUCAAAAGUGCGCACUAAGCGUUCCCACUUCCGGGGUUUGUUUGUUUGCGGUAGUAAAUACGACUCACUCGCAAGCAGCACGGUUCUAUUGGAUUGGCGGCAACACGGUAAGCAAAUGUAGCAUAAAUACAUUACAGAAGGGAAAGUUUGCGUACCGGCUGAAAACUGCUGUUUUUGUCCUUCCGGUUGUUCUUCCCCAGGUUGUUACUUCAAUCAGGACCAGCAGCAAAAGGAAGCAAGCUAAAGCUAAAGCAGCUAAAUGGAAAGUCUGUAAGUUGAAUUUUAACUUCCUGAUCUUAAAGAAAACAGACAGUACACAAACUCAAAGUGAAACAGUCGUAACCAAACAGAUGAACUCCAUUACACCCCAAAUAACUCAUAUAGCUUAUUAUGUGGCUGUGUUAAUACUUGAUUCUGAUUGGUCAAAAGUCCAUUACAGUUGUGAUAAAUAUUCAACAGCAAAACCAAACUAAAUUGACAACCUGAUCACACAUGUCAUGGCAAAUUAAUCUGGAGAAAGAAGUCCUGCACGUCUCUCUCAUGCCUGUUGACAAUGUUGUAAAAAUGGUAGCUUCCUGCUCCAGCUGGUCUUGACAGACAGUUACCUGGCACAGAUGGAGAGCAGAGCAGCCUGGGGAGCUUCUGAGGUAGAGGGUGAACUGGAGCAAGAUCCUGUCCCUCCAUCUGGUUAACAUCAGCAGAGCUGCUGAGCACAUCUUUGAUGAAGUUGAUGAUUGCUAUUGAAUCCCUUAAAACGUAAGCGGUAGUGAAAGAGCAACAUCGUUGAAAGUUGGGACAUUUAGCUCCUUUAUGAGGUGACACUUCAGAGUGAGGGGAGUGGAACGUGGGCUGAAAUCUCUCCAAACAUCCCUGCAGAAGUCCUGCUCAGCUUGUCAGAAAUAAUGUUCAGGUUAAUUUAAUUCAUAUGACGUAAACAGGCUGAUUUGUUGACACGACAGUGAAUUGAAAUGUUCAGGCUUAUAUUUACGUGUCUUGAGAAUCUUUUGUCAUGGAUGCAUCGCAGCUUGUAGACCCCAUAUUUUUUUAAUCUGUAUGAAUGAAACAGUUUUAAAUCAAUGAAAUAAUCUUUGAAUUAAUAUUUCACAUCAAAUUACAUCUUUAGUUGACAGCCAGGUAAUAGGUGGGAUGAUGUAAAGUGAGCAAAACCACCCAUCUUAUAUUAGGGCCUUGCUCAUCCUCACUAUUAAUUAUUGAUUGCCCUCUAAAGAGUCUUCAUUUCUCUUCUGAGUUAUUUCUCUGAAACGAUACAUUUGAUUUUUUUAUGUUGUUUUUAUUUGUGAACAAAAUGAAGGAAAACUGGAUCUUUAAUGUUCAAAAAACAAAUUCAUGCAGGUUUUUGUAGCAACUACAUCAUGAGAUUCCUGCAGUGAGUUUCCUUCCACAGGUAGCGACACAGGCUGCCUUUAAGAAUUGAGUGACAUUAACUAACCAGCCAGUCAGUCAGCAAUUUGCCAUUUUGCAACACACCAAUACAACAAUUUAUGCAAGUCUCUGAGUUCAUUCUUCAUCAAGACACCUCUAAAUAUUUCAGCAUCAGCCUGCAGUGCAGCAGACUAAUUUUGGAAUGAACUUCUCUUUGACUCAAAGUGCUCUUUUUGCCCAAUUGAAGCAAAAGUCAUGCAGAAAUUUGGCUGAAUCAAAAACAGAGUAAAGAAACGGCUCCCUCAUGCACUUGAAACAAUCUGCCUUUGUAUGCUGUUUAUUAUGUUUGGCUCGUAUCUCUCAGCAGAGUAAAGUUGGAGCCAAAAGUUAGACCGACAUGAUGAGCCAAUCAGCAGAGAGUAAAUUAAAUUAAUGCAUCUAAUUAAAGUCAAUGAUGUUACAAAAUAAGGGUCUUAAGGAAAACGCAGGUCUAUGCCUUUGCAGCUUUGAGAUUCAGAUCUUCCCCCCUUUCAUUAGUAAAUUAAGUCCCACACCAGCAACCCCCUCACCUCUUGAAAUAUGAACUGAGUGCUAGAUUAAAUAUGCAUAUUUAAUAAGAGGGGAACAUGAACACAUCCACUGCUUAAACGGGAGCAUGAGGGAUGAGGAAAUCAGAGCGAGAGAGAGAGAGUUUCAUGGCCUGCAGAGUGUGAAAGAAAAAACAGAAUUCAUCUUUAUUUCAACACGGCUCUGUGGGACUAACCCUAGCAGGACUUCCCCCCACUCUUUCUGAGCUCUGAUUGCACACACGCUGACUUUCUGGAGGUGCGGGCUACGUGUUUCUAUAGCAACCACAGAAAGCAGACAGUAUGGAGUAAACUCGCUUGCCAUGUGCCUGAACAUUUUUGCCUCUUGAACCAUCAAACUGAAUUUUGUAUCAGGCCGACUGUGUUUCUUUGUCAGGAUGGAGUCGGACCAGCACAGAACUAGGAGAAAGAAGACUUUUACAUCAAACAAUUUCCAUUACAAUGUAGAAAUAUAAUCCAGACUAUGAAAAGGAAUAAAUUGAUUUUUAAGGAAUUAUAUUGUCAGAAAUGUUGUGUGGUAAUAUUAGUUCAGUUUUAAACGCUUCAAAAUAGAAAAUACAAAUUUUUUUUUACUAUAUUUAUUAUCAUAACAUAAUUUAAGUUACAGUUUUAGCUUUGUGGGAUGAUAUAGACCAACCAGCAUGUUGAAGCACUUUGCAAACAACACAGUCCUGCCCACUUUGGUGACAAAUGCUGAAGAUCCUAUGUAUACUGAUGCAAUGUAAUGCAUGUUUGGAUGAACAUCUGUAAUUUUAAAAAGCCAUUUGUCCGACAGGAGUGGAUAAUACUUACUGGCCUGCCUGAUACUUGGCUUUCUUGGACUGUAACAAAGCUUGCUGAUCAAUAAGCCAUAAUGAGACUUCAGUGAAAAAUGUUGUGUCACAUGUACCAGACAAAAGGAAACAUGUUCAAAGGAAUCACAAGUUGUAGUUCCGUGUUGUCUUUAAACAACAAAGAAAAUGUCCUGAACAGCACAGCUUUAGAGCAGCUUUUGUGUUCCUGUUGUUGUGAGAAACCGUGAUUCUCCUGCCCACAAAAAGGAUGGCUUUCUCUUGGCAAGUUCUGCUCUGUGUCUCAAUGCCAGUCUGGUCUAAUCUUGGCUGUGAAAAGAGCAUCUCUUGGACUGUAAUUCUGUUUGGGCUCAGCUCAGCGCCCCUUACUGGACAUUUACACUGGCUGCAGCAUCUUAAGUUUGAAAACUUGAGAAGUCUCAUGGGUGUCCAUAUAUCAAAAUUAAAUUGAUACCUGCCAGCCAAUCAGAGUUGAAUAUUCACUAAAGCCAUGAUUUAAGUCAAUGCUUUAAAUGAUUUGAGAUAAUUGAAUCCAGCAUUGUAUUGUAUUUAUGAAAAGGCAUCAACAAUACCAUCAUGUCUGAGCACUAUAAGAGGUUAAAAAAUCUAUUAAUAGACUCUGAGGAUUAAAUGAACAUAGAAUUGUAAAAGAAAUCAAAACAAACUUCAAAAGGGUUGAAUUAAAGCUCCUGUAAGGAACUUCCAGUCUGUGUUAACAACCUACCAAACACAACAUUAACAGGAACUGCACAUAUUUUCUUUAUUCCCUCAGAAGCACGUCCACUUGUUUUAUUUCUCAAGGUUUUGGGAUAUACGUCUGUUAUUUUUGCCUCCACCAGCAUUUAAUGUGUGUUGCUCUAAGCACAGAGGAAUUACAUUUACAUAUUCAGCCCCAACAUAUCUUUGUAGAAACGGUGUCUCAGCUAUACUGCAUAAUCCAAAGGCUUUAAUGUGAGCAGUCAUUACGAACGCCAGUGAUUAAACCACUCUCUCUUUUUUUAACCAGAAAUGAAAGUCUUUUAGCUCACAGUAAAGGCUAUGGAUUAUGACAAAUGGAAGACUCAAAGACAUUUGUAUGUGAGUCUAAAGCACAUCACAGAGUUUAAGGCACCAGAAAGGAAAAACUUAAAGCCGCACAAAGAUACUGACCGGUGGCAGAUGAGAAGAGAUGGUCUUGAGGUCAGACUUUGGUUCAUACAGUAAAAGAUCUGUGACUGAAGCAGGUACAGAGUGACAUGUGGUAGACAACAAGAGAGGAUUAAGGGACUUUUAAAACCUUUUCAGCUUGUCUAAAUUGACCAAAGACCAAAAAAGACGGACACAAAAUUCAAAGACGCUGUCAAUACAAAACUUAACAUCUUGUUUUCAAAAACACAGCCAACAGCCGACUCCGUUUUAUUCAUAAAGCAAAACAUGAAACAUAAAAUUUACAUUUUUAAUCCAUAACUAAAGCCUCAUUUCAAACCUGCAGAUUAAAUGGUAAUAAAUAUUGACUGUCCCAGUUACAUAAACAGCUAAAGAGCUCAGCUACACUGUCAGUGAGUUGUAAGUUGUACGGAGUUGGUUUCAGCUUUUCCCUCACCGUGGCAGGAGUGUUACGAAACAGAUAAUCCGCUCAUCCAGCGCUUCUGCAUCCUCACCUUCAGCACAGGUUGUGAGAUAAAGCCCACGAGAACAGGUGUUUCUUAGAACUGUGGGUGGGAGUGGGAGGUGGGAGUAGCUCAGUCUGUCGGGACUUGGCUUUGGUUGUAGGCUCAAGUCUUUAUGAGGACCUAAAAAUGGAGGUUGGAUGGUUGCUGGAGAGGUGCCACUGAGGUGCCCUCAAGCAAGACACCAAACAAUGUGUGGUGCCCAUUUGUUUGCGGCCCAAACACUCUGGAAUCUCUCCAUUUGUGCACAUGAGAUCCUGUAUGUGCAUGUGUGUACAGUUCAGCCUUUGUGUGUUGAGUGUGAGUGUGAGUGUGAGUGUGUGUGCACUCAGUAACAGAGAGUAAAAAUUGAAUCGUCCUUUGAGAUUUGAUAGAGUUGGUCUUCUUUCUGUUUCUUUUGUUUUCAUUCUUAGUUUUUUCAUUCAGAGUGAAAAGGUUUGCUUCUAACUGUCAAUGCCAAAUGCUAAACAGAAUAAAUACAAAUGCCAUGAAAAACUGACUCCCAACAACCAAAACUAUAAGCUGAAUUGCCCGCAAACUUCUAAUGCUGAUCUGAAGAGACAGAAAUGUUUGAACCAAAUCAAGAAAUGUCUUGAAACAAGCGUGAUGUGUAAACAUGGUACAUGAUUAUAGUAUAUGGACAUGAUUUAUGAAUCUCUACAUUAGUAACUGAGGUCCACAAUCAAACACAACUUAGGCCCACAGAGUCCUUGACCCAAAUAUAUGAGAUAUUGGGACCCUGAGGGGCCGAGAGCCCGAACAAUGAAGUGGGUCAAUAAGCCCACUCCCACACACACGGUGUGUUCUUGUAAACCAGAUGGCCAAUUUAGUGUGAGCCAAAAGAAAAUUAAUCACAGCACAUUUAGUCCAGAGUCUGACAGAAUACAAUCACCGUGCACCGUGCAGAAUAAACCCCCUGCAGCCUCCCGCGGUGCACAGUCAGCGUGUCACAGGCAGCACACUCAGAGGAUGUAAACACACACACACACACACACACUGAAGUCCUCGGUAAAUCACAGGAGGAAAGACUUUCACUGUCAGUGCAGCACUACAGCGGUCAUUUAGGAGAGGAGUUAACAUGAUGUUUUUAAAAUGUGAAUGUGUGUCAGCCAUUUUUGAACAUGAGCUGCAUGUUUUCCUGUAUGAGUUUGUUACUUACUUGUGCAGACCGUGAAAGCAUCAAACAGAAAAAUGGCAGCUGCAAAAAACUGAAAAAAAUCAAAAAGUUAUUCUUCUAACAGUUUUUCCUUCUGCAUCACACAGGAACGACCACUCUGCAUGAAUUCUCUUGGCUGAAUAUUG